UAGGGAAUCUUCGGCAAUGGGGGGAACCCUGACUGAGCAACGCCGCGUGAGUGAAGAAGGUUUUCGGAUCGUAAAGCUCUGUUGUUAAGGAAGAACGAGUGUGAGAAUGGAAAGUUCAUACUGUGACGGUACUUAACCAGAAAGGGACGGCUAACUACGUGCCAGCAGCCGCGGUAAUACGUAGGUCCCGAGCGUUGUCCGGAUUUAUUGGGCGUAAAGCGAGCGCAGGCGGUUAGAUAAGUCUGAAGUUAAAGGCAGUGGCUCAACCAUUGUAGGCUUUGGAAACUGUUUAACUUGAGUGCAGAAGGGGAGAGUGGAAUUCCAUGUGUAGCAGUGAAAUGCGUAGAUAUAUGGAGGAACACCGGUGGCGAAAGCGGCUCUCUGGUCUGUAACUGACGCUGAGGCUCGAAAGCGUGGGGAGCGAACAGG
rnacentral:rRNA from 1 species